rnacentral:rRNA from 1 species
UGGGGAAUAUUGCACAAUUGGCGCAAGCCUGAUGCAGCCAUGUCGCGUGUAUGAAGAAGGCCUUCGGGUUGUAAAGUACUUUCAGCGGGGAGGAAGGGAGUAAAGUUAAUACCUUUGCUCAUUGACGUUACCCGCAGAAGAAGCACCGGCUAACUCCGUGCCAGCAGCCGCGGUAAUACGGAGGGUGCAAGCGUUAAUCGGAAUUACUGGGCGUAAAGCGCACGCAGGCGGUUUGUUAAGUCAGAUGUGAAAUCCCCGGGCUCAACCUGGGAACUGCAUCUGAUACUGGCAAGCUUGAGUCUCGUAGAGGGGGGUAGAAUUCCAGGUGUAGCGGUGAAAUGCGUAGAGAUCUGGAGGAAUACCGGUGGCGAAGGCGGCCCCCUGGACGAAGACUGACGCUCAGGUGCGAAAGCGUGGGGAGCAAACAGG